AUACUUACCUAGUUCCGGGGCCUCGUUCAUCACCAAGGACGAGCCCCCAGGGCGAGAAUUGCACUUUGCUCGCGUUGACCCCUGCCACUACCCCAAACUGGAGCAGAUGGGGCAUGCAAAUUGCUUAAAUCCGGUUCAACGCAAGAGAGGGCGCCACCGCC
rnacentral:snRNA from 1 species